GCGGAUGUAGCCAAGUGGAUGAAGGCAGUG
rnacentral:tRNA from 1 species